rnacentral:rRNA from 1 species
UACGAGGGGGGCAAAUGUUGUUCGGAAUCACUGGGCGUAAAGGGAGCGUAGGCGGGUUUUUAAGUCAGGUGUUUAAUCCCGGGGCCCAACCCCGGACCGGCACUUGAAACUGGGAAUCUUGAAUAGGGGAGAGGUCAGUGGAAUUGGGGGUGUAGCGGUGGAAUGCGUAGAGAUCCCCAAGAACACCAGUUGCGAAGGCGGCUGACUGGACCCAUAUUGACGCUGAGGCUCGAAAGCAUGAGGAGCAAACAGG